AAAGAGGCAGAGGGAGAGAGGGAGAGACUGAGACAGAGACAGCUGCAGGUUCAAUUAGCUAAACAAAGAAAUCAUGGCGGAUUGUUUACAUUUCGCAGACCCAAGGCAGAGUGGAUUUCGGAGUCCAAAGAUGCCGCGGUCCCCAAAGGAGUUUGCGGACCUGGCCCCCUCGCCCUGGCCUGGACAUUUGGAACUACUGCCUUGAAGAAAAUAUUCAACUGCCAGACUAAAAUACGACAUCUUAAGAAUAUGGAAUUGCUCUUAAAGAAAGAAAACAAUUGAACAGUCCCAGGAAGACAGAAUCUCAUUGAUUAAGGGGAGAUUUGGAAUGUGCAGUUGAAUAUCAGAAUGAAAGGCUGAAUUUCUGCAAAGACGGAUGUGAAACCAUCAGUGGAAGGGAUACAGAUACAGAGGAAGCUGUGCCCUGAACUGGAGAUACAAGAGAGAAAAGCAAACCAUUUUAGCCAGCAAGAACAUGAUCAUCCUCUCAAGGUAUAAAUUUGGAGGAUCAAAUAUUUCAGACCCUUUUCAUUAAAGAAGGUGCCCACUAAUUCCUUCCACAAUCUACAAAGUAAAAUAUAUAGGAAGGAUUUUUUUUCUCCAAAGUGUAACCUGAUCAGACAGCUAUUUAUUGUUUGCACCAGUCAGUCUUUUUUUGAGUGUGUUAUUUAUUUGAGAGAAAUGUUUUCCUUUUCAAGCCAUGGGCCAGGCCAUUUGUUUUCUCACUUGGUGUUCUUUUUGCCUCAAGUCGUCCCUAACGACUGCCAUCUUUUAGAUUAUUCUCCUUAAGAAGCAUGACUUCCUCCUCCCCUCUACUGUCGUCAUGAUCACCACCAUCACCAAACACCAGCAUGUAGCACAGAUUGCGGCCUAAGUUCUUGGAGAGAAGCCAGUGCAUUUGUCAGGAAUUGAAAAGUUUUGGAGCUGGUUCGCAGAGUUUCUGGUACACAAAGUGUUGGCUUGGAAGCAUGAAAUAACCAACUUCUGUCUCAAGUGAAAGAGAAGAAAUGAUGUCUGCUCUUCAUCUAGGAAAGGAAAAUCUGGACAAAAACAGGUGAUCUGGUAUGCAAAGAGAAAGAGAGAGAUUGAGAGAGAGAAAGGACUGCCUGGCCAGCGGCUCUGGAAUGCCUAAAGGAUAAUUUCAGCUAUACUUCCGGUCCAGAGCCAUGUUGCAGAUUAAACCUCAUCAGAUUACUUUCAGAAGCUAAACGGCAGGGUAUAGAAAUGUGUCCCCAGGAGAUGUAGUGGAUGUAGGGGUGGGAAACUUCCAUCUACUGCUAUUGCAGAAGAUGAGACAAAUGAUGCGGAAAGAAAUUUCUAUAAGCUACCCAGGUGUGAUUUGGAACAGAAUUUGACCUACCAUUUUUUUCUACUUUGGUCCAGUCUAAAGAAAAUAUUCUACCCAGAGAUUCUUCAUGUGGGAAACUGAGGUCACUGGCACUGAAGUGGCUUAUCUUGUGUUCUGCUCCCAUUUCAAAACGUGGAGAAGGAGCCCUGCUGGGUAGAAGACCUGAGUCCCAGUUGCUAACCAUUCCCCGAUGUGCCCCCCACCCCCCUGACUCCAAACACUAGCACCUCCUGAAGAAGAGAGAAAGCUUCCCAGACAGAAGAGAGCUUCCAGCCCACUAAGCUGACAGAUUAAAAACAUAUAGGAUGGCACAAUCAAAGAUCAUAGGCACACCCUAGAUUAACUCUUCUGUUUUUGAGACCUGUUCUGAAAAUCUUGGGUGAGGACGGGAAUGAAUAUCCAUUUCUCUGCAAUAUAUUCUGAGGACAAGUAUAACAAUUAUUCAGUCUUCAUGGAACUUCAUCCCCAGCAAAAGUGAGUACAUUCAUUUUAAAACCACAUAAGUAGUAGCUUUCAAUCUGGUGGUUUUCAUAUAUUGCCAUUUAAAUUUUCUUUCUCUGUCCUCCCUAUUGGAGACUUCUGAACUGAAC
ensembl:lncRNA